GAUGAACGCUGGCGGCGUGCCUAAUACAUGCCAGUCGAGCGAACGGACGAGAAGCUUGCUUCUCUGAUGUUAGCGGCGGACGGGUGAGUAACACGUGGAUAACCUACCUAUAGACUGGGAUAACUUCGGGAAACCGGAGCUAAUACCGGAUGAUAUUUUGAACCGCAUGGUUCAAAAGUGAAAGACGGUCUUGCUGUCACUUAUAGAUGGAUCCGCGCUGCAUUAGCUAGUUGGUAAGGUAACGGCUUACCAAGGCAACGAUGCAUAGCCGACCUGAGAGGGUGAUCGGCCACACUGGAACUGAGACACGGUCCAGACUCCUACGGGAGGCAGCAGUAGGGAAUCUUCCGCAAUGGGCGAAAGCCUGACGGAGCAACGCCGCGUGAGUGAUGAAGGUCUUCGGAUCGUAAAACUCUGUUAUUAGGGAAGAACAUAUGUGUAAGUAACUGUGCACAUCUUGACGGUACCUAAUCAGAAAGCCACGGCUAACUACGUG
rnacentral:rRNA from 1 species